GGAUUUUUCAGUCUCUAUUGUUGGGGUAGUUGUUUCUGCAGGAAUUGUUGUUGUGUAGGUUUUGGUGUAAUUAUUGGUGUGGAUUUUUCAGUCUCUAUUGUUGGGGUAGUUGUUUCUGCAUGAAUUGUUGUUGUGGAGACUGUUUCUGUAAUUAUGUUUGUAGUUUCAGAUGUUUGAGUGCCAGUAGUUGUAGU